GACGAACGCUGGCGGCGUGCUUAACACAUGCAAGUCGAACGGAAAGGCCCUGCUUUUGUGGGGUGCUCGAGUGGCGAACGGGUGAGUAACACGUGAGUAACCUGCCCUUGACUUUGGGAUAACUUCAGGAAACUGGGGCUAAUACCGGAUAGGAGCUCCUGCUGCAUGGUGGGGGUUGGAAAGUUUCGGCGGUUGGGGAUGGACUCGCGGCUUAUCAGCUUGUUGGUGGGGUAGUGGCUUACCAAGGCUUUGACGGGUAGCCGGCCUGAGAGGGUGACCGGCCACAUGGGGACGGGGAUACGGCCCAGACUCCUACGGGAGGCAGCAGUGGGGAAUAUUGCACAAUGGGCGGAAGCCUGAUGCAGCAACGCCGCGUGCGGGAUGACGGCCUUCGGGUUGUAAACCGCUUUCGCCUGUGACGAAGCGUGAGUGACGGUAAUGGGUAAAGAAGCACCGGCUAACUACGU
rnacentral:rRNA from 1 species